AUUUAAUCACUAAGUAUGGGAGUGGAUGUAGUCCUCUGAGGUCGUCAGAGGACUACUUAAGAGUCAGUUUUUCCUUUCAACCUGUAGUUCCAAGGAGCUGAAUCAAGUUGCCAGGUAAGCGCCAGGGCCCUUUACCUGCUGGGCCAUCUUGCCGGCCUAUUUCUGAGAGGACAUCUCUCAGGUUGCCAGACUGACUUUGAACUCACUAUGCAGCCUAUGUCAGUGGCCUUGAACUCUUAUUAAUCAUCCUGCCUCCACCUCUCAAAGGCCUGGAAUAAUAUUUGUGAGCCAUCACACUGGGCAUUUAACUUAAAAUACUGAAAAAAUUGGCUUAAGUGGGCGAGCAGUCAAGGAAAAAAAAAAAACAUUUUCUGUAUUAUGACACCAAAAGUACAUACAGCCACUGAUUUAAAAAUAUAUAUAUAUAUAUCUAAACAAACUUGGAAACACAGAACUCAAGAGUCCGAAGUGAAAAUUUCAUAAAGCAACCCAGAAUGAGAAACGACGGAGGCUAGUAACUUUGGGUAAAUUGUUGCUACUCCGCUUAUUGUGAAAUGUACAAAAGAGAUGCAAGUGUUGCUUGCUCUUUAUCUUAAAUUUACUUGAGUUCUAUUAUGAAACUAGAUAAUUUUAUAGGACAUUGAACUCUCUCUUCAAAGUGUAACAAGUCCUGAGCUUCACUGCUAACAAUUCUUCCCAAGCUGCAGUGCACAACCUAGACAACUUAGAUCAUCACCACACCCAACCUAAAAGCAACUUAGCAGACACAGAACGCUCUCCCCCAGAGCCGCUGUUAUACUCGAAACCUACUAAUUAUGGUUACCACCACCAGAAAUAACCCAUUAGGCGCUUGCUGUAAGUGCCAUCAGCUUUAAGAAUAACCGGUGCCAUAUGUCUUAGUAAAGUGCAACACAGAAUCCAACAUUACAAUCUUAAACCUAACAUCCCCGGAAACUGCACUGGGUUGCGUUCUGACGCGACCUUUAAUGUGGAAAGACUCGAGAACUAAAAGCAAAGGAGCUUGCGACCCCACCAACUACCUCCUUCCAUCAACGAAUCCCGCUUAAUCCUUCAUGCCUGCACUUUUCCGUUGUAAACAGGAAACUCCAGAGGAAAGGAAACGGAGAAAAUCCUAUUUGUGCUUUUAUAAAAGGAAUAACGGCAGCGCUCUCCAACCCCCACGAUGUGAUUGAACAAAUGAAAAAAGCAACCGGAGGAAGUGACGGGGUGGGCUGCUGGUGAGCUCACUUGGAAGUCCCAAACAUGACACCCAGCUUAGGGGUGCCCCCAAACAUCUGUACCAACAGCUGCAGCGGCCAUGGCUCCGCCUCCUCCGCCGCGCUCCCCUCACCGCCGUCGCCACGACCCCGCGCUGCGCUCCGGCUCCCGGCUCCCAGCGCCCCGGCCCCGUGUGGCGUAGCUCGGACGCCGCUACCGCCGCCGCCGCCGCCGCCGCCGCCGCUCUCCUCCCCGCCCCCACGCCGCUCUC
ensembl:lincRNA Gm26860 predicted gene, 26860